rnacentral:rRNA from 1 species
GACGAACGCUGGCGGCGUGCUUAACACAUGCAAGUCGAACGGAAAGGCCCUGCUUUUGUGGGGUGCUCGAGUGGCGAACGGGUGAGUAACACGUGAGUAACCUGCCAUUGACUUUGGGAUAACUUCAGGAAACUGGGGCUAAUACCGGAUAGGAGCUCCUGCUGCAUGGUGGGGGUUGGAAAGUUUCGGCGGUUGGGGAUGGACUCGCGGCUUAUCAGCUUGUUGGUGGGGUAGUGGCUUACCAAGGCUUUGACGGGUAGCCGGCCUGAGAGGGGGACCGGCCACAUUGGGACUGAGAUACGGCACAGACCCCUACGGGAGGCAGCAGUGGGGAAUAUUGCACAAUGGGCGGAAGCCUGAUGCAGCAACGCCGCGUGCGGGAUGACGGCCUUCGGGUUGUAAACCGCUUUCGCCUGUGACGAAGCGUUAGUGACGGUAAUGGGUAAAGAAGCACCGGCUAACUACGUG